rnacentral:rRNA from 1 species
AUGAAUCAAGCCGGGAAGGCCCGCAUGCUCGCCAUCGAGCUCGUCGUCGCUAUGUACAUCAUCAUCGCCGCCGUCGAUUUCCGCCACUUCGACCGCCCCCGGACCCACCAACCACUGCGCUGUGACCGUUACCCCGAGACCACGGUUGAACCAGUGAUCGACUACUUCACCAUUGAAGAUCUGUAUCUGUAUGCCGAGCUUCCAGUUGAUGGAGCCCCUGAGACCGUUGCCCCCGCCGAUGACUACUACUACCCCGAGGGUGCCUACUACUAUGUGAUGGACACCGACGACCAGGAGUAG